GGUUGUUUGUAGGAUGCACAAACAUAUGCAGAUGACAACAGCUUGCUGUUCAUGGAGACGUCGGCGAAGACAGCGAUGAAUGUGAAUGAAAUCUUCAUGGCAAUAGCCAAGAAACUGCCAAAAAAUGAACCCCAGAAUGCUCCUGGUGGCCCAGGCAGGAAUCGGGUGGUGGAUCUUCAGGAGAGCAGCCAGCCGAGCAGGAGCCAGUGCUGCAGCAACUGAGCAGCGGCCCCGGCCCGCGAGGACGUGACUGGAACCCACGCUAACGAUCGCACUUACCGUAGGGCGGCCGCGGCGCCGCCGUGAUUCUCCAUCCCUUUCUGAUCAUAGGCUGGAGGGAGUUCUUCCACCUGCACCUUUCUGUACAAAUACUAAUUCAAUUCUAAGUCUUAAGUCACUUUUUUAAUAUAUGAACUUCUGCUCUUCCCUCGUCCUGGUGGUGGUGGAUGCAGGACCCGGUGUCUGCCCAGCCAGUGCGGCCGUCCCGCGGGCGAGGCCAGCAGCACCCAGGUCCCACAGCACUGUAGUUCACUAUGGGAAACAAAGGGAUAUUGGGACACGUGUUUAAAGUUCCCUGUCUGUAAGAGCUGAGGCUGAUCCCGUACGAUGCGCCCAGAACAACCACUAAACUGUAGCAUUAGAGACAAACUCUGGCUCUUCGGCCACUUAUUGACCAAAUCAGUGAUGAGUAUUUGGGGUGGGGCAGAGGGAAGCAAAACUGGUUUCUUCUGUAUUUUGUAUUGUAUGUUUCUCCAUGUAACCAAUCAGUAUCUUGUCAAUAUAGUACAUCCAACGAGCUGCCUGUUGUCUUUCUUUGUGUUGGACUCCAGCAUGCCAACUCUUCUUUUCUAUCGGUUCGGUCAUAAUGCACUAAUCCUGUUGCAACUUUUGCAAAGAAUCUUGUAUAGAAAAUUGUCCUUUUUUUUGAUGGUUGUGAUGCCACUAAUGUUGUUAACCCUGCUCUGGUGGGAAUACACAAGGUUUACUGAUGUACAGAGGUGGGGUGGGGGAAACCUCGGGUAACCUGUCAGUGGGAACGACGUGUACUGCAAAAGCCUGUAAUUCCACAAAGAAUGAAGGGAGGUAUUAAAUGGCUUCUGUUGCCAGACUCUAA